rnacentral:lncRNA from 1 species
AAGACUCGUUGGAAUCUUACUUAGGGAAGGAUUUUGUGCACAUGCGAGAAUACUGUUGCCCGUAUGCAAAUGAGAUGUUGUGUGACUACUUGUCUUCUGCAUGCAUGCUGCUACUGCUUGUUAUCUCUGAGCAUGCAGGGAUGGCAGCCCAUGCUAUUCUCGUGUGUGCAGUUGUCUUCUCCAUAGUUGAUCAUGCGGGUGCAGGAAAAAUCUUGUUGCCUACAGGUUCUGUCUUCUUGGUCUUCUAGAUAAGUGACUCCUCUUGUGUUCGAAUUUACGUCAAUUUCAAUCUAUCUACGAGCAUGGCCACAGAAGAACUUGAAGCUAUCAGAGAGGAGGUACUUCAAGAUCAAACUCGUGGGCACAAGCAACAUGCUCAACCUAAACGAAGAAAAUCAAAAGCUUCAGCCCCUGCCGCUAUAGGUGAGUCCCUUAAACCUCAAGUAUCACAUUCGGAAUGCAAUGUCAAGAAUGUUUAAUCCACUGUGGG